AAUCAACGCUGGCGGCGUGCCUAACACAUGCAAGUCGAGCGAGAAAGUGGACUUCGGUCUGCGAGUAAAGCGGCGCACGGGUGAGUAACACGUGGGUAAUCUGCCUCGGAGUGGGGAAUAACACCGGGAAACCGGUGCUAAUACCGCAUACGAUUGCAGGGUCUUCGGACUCUGCACUGAAAGGAUUUAUUCGCUCUGAGAGGAGCCCGCGCCCGAUUAGCUAGAUGGUGAGGUAAUGGCUCACCAUGGCCACGAUCGGUAGCCGGUCUGAGAGGACGGUCGGCCACACUGGAACUGAGACACGGUCCAGACUCCUACGGGAGGCAGCAGUGGGGAAUUAUUGACAAUGGGGGAAACCCUGAUCAUGCAACGCCGCGUGGAUGAUGAAGUAUUUCGGUACGUAAAAUCCUUUCGACAGGGAAGAAGGCCAGCUUGCUGGUCUGACGGUACCUGUAGAAGAAGCCCCGGCUAACUCCGUGCCAGCAGCCGCGGUAAUACGGGGGGGGCAAGCGUUGUUCGGAUUUACUGGGCGUAAAGGGCGCGUAGGCGGCAUGUUAAGUCGGAUGUGAAAACUGUGGGCUCAACCCAUAGCCUGCAUCCGAUACUGG
rnacentral:rRNA from 1 species